rnacentral:rRNA from 1 species
AUGAACGCUGGCGGCGUGCCUAAUACAUGCAAGUCGCGCGCACGGACGAGAAGCUUGCUUCUCUGAUGUUAGCGGCGGACGGGUGAGUAACACGUGGAUAACCUACCUAUAAGACUGGGAUAACUUCGGGAAACCGGAGCUAAUACCGGAUGAUAUUUUGAACCGCAUGGUUCAAAAGUGAAAGACGGUCUUGCUGUCACUUAUAGAUGGAUCCGCGCUGCAUUAGCUAGUUGGUAAGGUAACGGCUUACCAAGGCAACGAUGCAUAGCCGACCUGAGAGGGUGAUCGGCCACACUGGAACUGAGACACGGUCCAGACUCCUACGGGAGGCAGCAGUAGGGAAUCUUCCGCAAUGGGCGAAAGCCUGACGGAGCAACGCCGCGUGAGUGAUGAAGGUCUUCGGAUCGUAAAACUCUGUUAUUAGGGAAGAACAUAUGUGUAAGUAACUGUGCACAUCUUGACGGUACCUAAUCAGAAAGCCACGGCUAACUACGUG